ensembl:snRNA U6 U6 spliceosomal RNA
GUUCUCACUUCAGCAGCACAUAUACUAAAAUUGGAACGAUACAGAGAAGAUUAGCAUGGCUCCUGGAUGACAUGCAAAUUCGUGAAGCGUUCCAUAUUUAA